rnacentral:lncRNA from 1 species
AGCAUUUCCCAAUAUAUAUUUAUGAACUAGGCUACUAUGCGUAACAGCACCAAAUUAUUUGUACUAUUAAAUUUUCGGCCGAUAAAGAAAGAGAUGCACGGUUAGAAUGACAGCAAGCUUCUAAAAUUAAGUGGGUGGUUGGUUGAAUAGUAUGAUCUAACCCGUGAAUAUGAUGAAAAUAAGGACAGAUCUAACUGUGAAAAAAUUGAUAGCAUAAAACGCUUGAUGCUAUUAAUAGCAUAGUAGCCGGACUCUAUCUCUAUAUAUAUAGAGAGAGAAAGAGAGGAGAGCUAUUAUGCUAUCGGACGUAUAGAAAAUCUGAUAUUUUAGGUUUUUUGGCUCUUAGAUCAAAUCCCUUUAAUCAUUUCUAAUCUCUGAAUUAAUACGAACCACUCAAUCCUAGAGAUACUAUUCAACUCUAAGAGAACCGCAAUCAUCUUAACCGUACAAUUCUUAAUUUAAGGGUCAAAAAAUCGAAAGCACCGGAUUCUCUAUACUUCCGAUAGCAUAGUAGCUCUACAUUAUAUAUAUAUAUUUCGUGAUACAUAAUUAUUAGGCUAAUGAGUCCAAAAAGGCAUUUUAGAUUCGGU